CUUAGGCUUGUCAUGAAGGAAAAUAUACAUCUUAUAUGCCAGUUCUGCUUCUGAAAAUUCUUGAUUGAUAAAGCUAUUUCAUACUCUGAGCCUUUU
rfam:Citrus clementina cultivar Clemenules unplaced genomic scaffold scaffold_3, whole genome shotgun sequence.